AGAGAAACGAAGUAGUGAUGCAGAGUAAAACUCAAAAAACGGUACUCAGUCCGGAUUGAAGGCUGAAAUUCGCCUUCAUGAAGCUGGAAUUGCUAGUAAUGGCAGGUCAGCAUACUGCCGUGAAUACGUUCCCGGGCCUUGUACACACCGCCCGUCACACCAUGAGGGUUGGGAAUACCCGAAGCCUGUGAGCUAACUGUAAGGAGGCAGCAGUCGAAGGUAGAACCAAUGAUUGGGGUGAAGUCGUAACAAGGUAAC
rnacentral:rRNA from 1 species